CCCUUAGAUGUCCUGGGCCGCACGCGCGCUACACUGACAUGUUCAACAAGCCUCCUAGUUCGACAGGAUUUGGGAAAUCUUUGAACGCAUGUCGUGAUAGGGAUAGAUCAUUGCAAUUAUUGAUCUUGAAUGAGGAAUUCCUAGUAAACGCGAGUCAUCAGCUCGCAUUGAUUACGUCCCUGCCCUUUGUACACACCGCCCGUCGCACCUACCGAUUGAAUGUUUCGGUGAAGAUUCCGGAUAGGACUUUUUUGAUUUAUUUCAAUUUUGUCUUAAAAGCUAUCUAAACCUCAACAUUUAGAGGAAGGUGAAGUCGUAACA
rnacentral:rRNA from 1 species